UUACGGCCAUACCACGUUGAAAGACCGGUUGCCGUACGACUACCGAAGUUAAGCAACGUCAUGCCUGGUCAGUACCGACAAGGGUGACCGCUUUGAAAUACCAAAUGCUGUAA